rnacentral:rRNA from 1 species
GAUGAACGCUGGCGGCGUGCCUAAUACAUGCAAGUCGAGCGAACGGACGAGAAGCUUGCUUCUCUGAUGUUAGCGGCGGACGGGUGAGUAACACGUGGAUAACCUACCUAUAAGACUGGGAUAACUUCGGGAAACCGGAGCUAAUACCGGAUGAUAUUUUGAACCGCAUGGUUCAAAAGUGAAAGACGGUCUUGCUGUCACUUAUAGAUGGAUCCGCGCUGCAUUAGCUAGUUGGUAAGGUAACGGCUUACCAAGGCAACGAUGCAUAGCCGACCUGAGAGGGUGGUCGGCCACACUGGAACUGAGACACGGUCCAGACUCCUACGGGAGGCAGCAGUAGCGAAUCUUCCGCAAUAGUCGAAAGCCUGACGGAGCAACGGCGCGUGAGAGAUAAAGGUCUUGGGAUCGUAAAACUCUGUUAUUAGGGAAGAACAUAUUUGUAAGUAACUGUGCAGAUAUUGACGGUACUUAAUCAGAAAGCCACGGCUAACUACGUG